UCCAGGGUAGCCUAGUGGACAUGGCAUCUGCCCGGUAAGUGGAACAUUGUGGGUUCGAUUUCCAUCCCUGGAU
rnacentral:tRNA from 1 species